rnacentral:rRNA from 3 species
UGGGGAAUAUUGGACAAUGGGCGCAAGCCUGAUCCAGCAAUGCCGCGUGUGUGAAGAAGGCCUUCGGGUUGUAAAGCACUUUAAGUUGGGAGGAAAAGCUGAGGGUUAAUAGCCUUUAGUGUUGACGUUACCAACAGAAUAAGCACCGGCUAACUCCGUGCCAGCAGCCGCGGUAAUACGGAGGGUGCAAGCGUUAAUCGGAAUUACUGGGCGUAAAGCGCGCGUAGGCGGUUAUUUAAGUCAGAUGUGAAAGCCCCGGGCUUAACCUGGGAAUGGCAUUUGAGACUGGAUGGCUAGAGUAUGGUAGAGGUGAGUGGAAUUUCAGGUGUAGCGGUGAAAUGCGUAGAGAUCUGAAGGAACAUCAGUGGCGAAGGCGACUCACUGGGCCAUUACUGACGCUGAGGUGCGAAAGCGUGGGUAGCAAACAGG